UACAGAGGGUGCGAGCGUUGUUCGGAAUUAUUGGGCGUAAAGGGUGCGUAGGCGGGCUGUCAAGUCUGGGGUGAAAUCCCGCGGCUCAACCGUGGAACUGCCUCAGAUACUGAUGGCCUCGAGGAAGGUAGGGGCAUGCGGAACUGUAGGUGGAGCGGUGAAAUGCGUUGAUAUCUACAGGAACUCCGGUGGCGAAAGCGGCGUGCUGGACCGAUUACUGACGCUGAGGCGCGAAAGCUAGGGGAGCAAACGGG
rnacentral:rRNA from 1 species